rnacentral:rRNA from 1 species
AUUGAACGCUGGCGGCAGGCCUAACACAUGCAAGUCGAGCGGAUGACGGGAGCUUGCUCCUUGAUUCAGCGGCGGACGGGUGAGUAAUGCCUAGGAAUCUGCCUGGUAGUGGGGGACAACGUUUCGAAAGGAACGCUAAUACCGCAUACGUCCUACGGGAGAAAGCAGGGGACCUUCGGGCCUUGCGCUAUCAGAUGCGCCUAGGUCGGAUUAGCUAGUUGGUGGGGUAAUGGCCCACCAAGGCGACGAUCCGUAACUGGUCUGAGAGGAUGAUCAGUCACACUGGAACUGAGACACGGUCCAGACUCCUACGGGAGGCAGCAGUGGGGAAUAUUGGACAAUGGGCGAAAGCCUGAUCCAGCCAUGCCGCGUGUGUGAAGAAGGUCUUCGGAUUGUAAAGCACUUUAAGUUGGGAGGAAGGGCAGUAAGCUAAUACCUUGCUGUUUUGACGUUACCGACAGAAUAAGCACCGGCUAACUCUGUGCCAGCCGCCGCAGUAA